CCGUAUCUCGUGCGUAUUCUUGCAAAUCAUUGCCGAGUAAACAAAAAGAUAGUAAUCGAGAGAAGAAAACAUGAGGAGGACAUCGCUAUUUGCGCUGAAAGUGGGGGACUAGAAAACUGGAGAGAAAAAUAGACGAGCGUAGAAGCGAGCGAGAUUUUUAAUUCUUUGACGAAGAUCGUUUUAAACUAUUCUUUUAGAAAUCUUUUGGUUAGGUUCCUUGAAUAAAGACUGGUCGAUACUUUUUUUUUUUUUUUAAAUAAAAUGGAGUAACUUAGGAGAAUUUACUGUGAAUAAGUAAGAUGGAAUUUAAGGAAGAAUAAAAAAAAAAGAAAAGUAUAAUAUUCCAUUAGGGUUAGUAAAUGCAAAGCGAAAUUCUACUAUUAAAAAAUUAUGCAACGGCGAUGUCCAACGAUUACGAUGACCACGAGCGAGGAAAAAUGUUGCGCGAUACGUUAAAUUUAGCAGUCGAUGGUCAUUCCGAUAGUGAAAACGGUACGUGCUCGAAGGAAUUUUAGUGGAAUUCUACACACUACAAUGAGUAGUAAACCGAAAUAGAGGGUCAUUACCUUGACCGUAAGGAAUAGAGGCGCAAUAAAACUGGCAUUGAAAAUAAUACAUGUAUCGAACUAUCGGACUGUGUUUGCUGUUGUGUCGUUAACACAGAAUUCAGUUCAUGCGUCAAACACAGAACUUUGUGUAUCUCGAAAAAAAAAAAAAAAAAAAAAUAACACGCUACUUUCAUAAUCAUCGACUCACAUAAGAUGUACUACUGUGAAUAACAGAACGAAAUUAUCAUGGUUAGCAAACUGCGUAUGUUAAUUAUGCAAACAGUAGAUUUCCUAACUAUCACUAAGAAAAAAACACCAUUAUAAUCGUCAUAAGAAGACUGUAAAUAUUCAUGCAAAUUUUUUCAAAGACAGUCAUAAAAAGUAUAACUCGCAUAUACGCGAUACUAUAUUGUAUUUUCUAAAUGUCAUAAACCUAGGCGUUAGGUAUUUUGCUUCUACGCUCAUUGUGACGUAUUUUUGCAUAUUUACGUUCGAGAUAAAUACACGAUUUGCCUAAUCAUCAAGAACAAAGAAACAAACACAUUGCAUCUCUCAACUAUAGCAACUUCGCUUCUCGUAACCGCGAUCGAUUGCUAUUAAUAUUGUUGUAUCGAUUGCUUCUAUUAUUAUCGGAUUGUUAUCAUGUUACAUAACGUGGUAUUAUCAUGUAUAUCAUGUAUGCAUAAAAUUUGAUUAUCGAAUAAAAUAGAAUACGAGUUUAUCAAAAUUUUGGAUAAAUAUUUCGAAGUAUGCACUCGAUCAAAUUUCCAAUAUUAACGUCUCGUUAGCUCUAAUGUUUUUAAGUACGCGCCUAUAGUUAUUAAUCCUUGUUAAAGAGAUAAUUAAUUCUUGAUAUAGCGAUCCAUUCUUGAUCUAAUUUCUUAUUCAGUUAAUUCUCGCUAAAAAUAGUAAGUGGCUAAAAGUCUUCAACGUAGUAACAUGGUAGAACGAUGUCGAUAAUCGUUGUUGAUUAAUAAUUAUUAUUAUCGCAUUGAAAACUAGAUUGUACUCUGUUAUAUUAGAUUUUCUUUCAAAAUCACGCGAUAACGAUAACAAUAACGUGACUUAAAACACGUUUAUGAAUAAAAAAACACAAAUUCUUUUUCUAAAAUUCCUUUGAACGGUACAAAUUCCUCUCGGAAUUUCCUUCAGCUUCUAACAGUUCGGCUUUCGAAAAUGAAAAAUGAAGAUUUCUUUCGUUAUCUCUCAGAAUCUCAGAAUAUUUACUGUACCUUUGAGAUUUAUUUUCAAAAUACAAAAGUAUCUUUCUUAAGGUAUCUCAAGGUAUCUCAAGGUAUUUCUUAUCUGCUUCUUUCCUCGAGUUUUGCUCGUAAAAGGAAAGCCUUUAAAAAUUUCUGCCAUCGUCACUCAAGAGUUUGACCUUUUACGGUACAUUCGAAAUUUAACUUGUUUCUUGAUUAGCCAAUUCACGUGACUCUAAAAUGUCAGUGACAUGUUAAUAAAUUAUAUGCGUAGGUCGUACGAUAAAACCUGCCUAACAUUUGUAAUACCUUUGCAAGUUACGGUUAUCAUCGCAAAACGUGUAACCAAACGCGAUUUCGUUUUACAAUUUCGAUUCUGUAACCUUCAGUCGCAAAUUCUCGCCAAUUUCAACGGAUUCGUCGAUCGAUUAUUUUGUUAAGACGCGUAUCAGAAGACCCGUGCAAGUAACUUCAGAGAUUUUAUUUCUUCAGAUCGAAAAUAUAACUCCAGAUAGGAUUACAAUUUUUCGUUUACGUUUUCGAAUACAAGAAAAAGACGUAUCUUCUAAUAUUUGUCACACCGUGAUACAGUAUUUGCACCUAGAUUAGCCGAGUAAUCAGAUAACUCGCUAGCUCGACGAAAACAUGUAACAAAUAACGUCCACUUAAUCUCGCUGUUUUGCAAUGGAAAAAAUCAUGGAUUAGAUUACGUGAAUUAGGUUUGUAAAUAAAAUGGCUCGUUUCCACAAUAAUACUAUCAAUCUUUAAUAAUAAAAUAAUUUAUUAAGAAAUGGAAAAGUUACGUGUAACAUAGUAUACUCGACUUUGUUAAUGUCAUUUAUUAAUAAUGAUAAUUUAUAGACUAUGUCACCUGAAAAACUUUAUUAAUAAUAUCAGUUCAAUCGCUUAAUCGUACAUUUUCAAUGAAAUGAACAAUUUUAUUUUGAACAAUUUUCAAUGUGAAUUCGCCAACGUAUUGAUUAACAAUUUAAAAUAGUAAUUUUGUUUUGCAAAUAUUUUUUUUAUUCUUUAUUUAUUUACAUUUUACAAUUUGUCCAGUAGGACAUUUGGUAAAAUAUUAUAGCUUAGUGAUAUAGCAAUAUAGCAUGUGGAUGGCUACCCCCAGUGGGAUACCAUCUUCAAAUUUUUGCAAAUAUGUAUAAAAAUACCACCAUAGUUUGGAACUUGCUCGCAAUAAAAGUCACUGAAAUUUUAUGGCUAUUGAUAGUUUCGUGCAAAGCAGGCCAACCUCGUGUAUAUCAAUCGCCUGACAUUGGCACGAUGACUAAUGGAGCCAUUUAAACGAGACUGAAAGCAUUUGGAUUCGUCCGUUGGAUCGUUGGAUUAUCUUCGUCUCAUAAACCAAAAAUAUUUCUUCCUCGCUAUUUUCCUUUAAUACUCAGAAUACUAGCAAACGCGCCAUAGUACGUUCGAAACGAAGACAUUCGGAAAGACCUGGGAUUACCAACGGUCAAAGAGGAGAUUAACAGAAGUGCAAGAAGGUACAGAGAAAGAAUAGCAACGUACCCGAACCGGCUGGCAGCGGAAACGGUCGGCGCAACAAAUAUAAAAAGGAAACUAAAAAGCAAACACCCAACAAAUCUCACAAAGGACAUAACCCAACGUGCAAACACUCACCGCACUAAAGAAAUAAAUCAAUCAAAUUCGAAAAUGGUAUGCCACUGGGGGUAGCCAUCCACAUGCUAUAUUGCUAUAUCACUAAGCUAUAAUAUUUUACCAAAUGUCCUACUGGACAAAUUGUAAAAUGUAAAUAAAUAAAUAAAUAAAAAAAAAUUAUUUUCCUUUCCUUCACGCCAUAGUUAAUGUCCAAAUGCAAUUUUUCUUUUCUCUCUAAUCGUUUUUUAAUCUCAUAACGAUUAUAUAUUUUUCUUUUAACGAUCAGGAUUACUAGAUACCUUUAUUUCCAUUCUUUUCGUCAAGAUUAUUGAUUCUCUCUUUACUGGACGAGGCUUCUAAUGGAAAGUUUCUCGAUCAUCCUCAUCGCUAUCGUUGCUCGUGAUAUCACUACAGAGACGAACAUGAACGAUUCCAUUCAUCGAUCGUAUGUGGGAAUCGUCAGAAGGAAACAAAAUCAAGCCGAUUCGUACAAUUUACCAGUUUCUAGUCUAUUCCGCUCUAUUUUUAAACGAGUCUCGGUCUUUGAAACGAGCUUUUUAAACGCCUUUGAGUGUUUACGAAAAAAGAAUCAACCGAAUAAAAAUGUACGAUCUAUCGACUUAUAAUUAGUAUCAUUUUCGAUUAAAUUUCUUUGUACUUUAGAUAAAGAUAUCUUCAAAUUUUUUCAACUGGUAAACUGAUAAGCAAGACGUUGUAUAACAAUGUGAAAAAUCUGCAUGUCAAUAUCGAGCGAAUGCAUUUUUUCGAAAGUCUCUCUCGCGUUACACUUUGACGAAUCGCCUGCUUCUACUCGCAACAUCUCGGAAACUUUCCGUCGUUCGCACGAUUAUCGAUGCGCUUGUUUUUUAAUCGCUAGUCUUAUCUACGCGCCACAAUUCGUAAUUCGCCAUCUGUCUAUUUGAAAUUCGCAGGCUGUUACGCAGGUCGUGCAACAUGUGUAUGCAACACACGUUCGAGAAGAAAAUUAGAAUGCAAAUGUAUCGGGACAAAUUUGAAUACAAUAGCAGUACAUGUUAAGAGAAAGUUGAUAGGUGGUAUUUUUCAUCUUGAUUAUAGCACAUCAAAGGUAUCUUCAUGGAAAUAUUAUCGACGUCUCGAUCAAAAUCGUAUUGAUGCCACUAUUAUCGAUCUACGUAAAUUUUUAUCAAUCCGAUCCUAACGUUAGGUACUGUAAUACAUCAAUAAUACUUAAACUAUCUUCCAAUUAACACAAGACAAUAUAUAAUAAUAAAAUAUAAUAAAUAAAAAUUUGGAAUAAAAUUCUUUGGAACUUUAAUGAAAAAAAAAAUUAUUAUUCAUAUUACUGCUCGUUCCACAUACUGCAUCGCUUAUAGAAUGAAUAUUAAAAAUACUAUUCGUAGAACAAAAUCACAUAAAAAGUUAAUAAAACGUUGAAGAAACGUCACUGGCGAAACGUCAUCGGCAUGCAACUUUGCCAAGAAAAGGCAGUUGACUUUUCUCACGUUUUUCGAUGUUUUCGACAGUAAAAUGAAACUGUGACCAUAAGAUGGAAUAUCGUAUGAUCAUGAAGAUUCGCGCACGUGAUGAACGAGGAUCGCAAAUAAUGACGUGACAACACGAGGAAGAAUGCGAAUGGCGACACGUGCUGCACGUGGACGAUAGUGUUACAUGCAUGAUUGCAGGUAUCACGCAGCUAAUCCGCUGAUAACUGCCGUGACCAGCCUCCGCUGCUUCGUUCAUUGUAAAUAGGAACACGCGUAACUUGAUAAAAUUCCCUUGUGUGUGAACGCCGACGGAAGCGGAAAAAGAAACGCGAUACUUGUGAUUAAACUGUCGCCGUUUAUCGAUGCAAUUUUCAAAAAUCUUUUCUAGCCUUCGAAACUUCGAUAGUGACUUAAUCUUAGAAAUAGUUAUUAUCUUCAACAUCGAUUUUAAAUUUUCAGUUGGAAAUGAUAAACAUUUUCUGCUUAAUUAUUAUUCAUGUAACCAAAACAGAUACGAGUACGUGUUUAAUGAGAAGUAUCUCAUCAAUCUAAAAUGAGCGACUCCUAACUAUUCCUCGUUAAAGUAUUUUUGUUAGGUCGUCCGAAAAGUUUCUUUCGUUUUAUAAGGAAAUGAUGGAUGCUCAACAUUUUUCGUUUCAUAUUAUUUUAUCGAAUUACUGAAAAUUCUCAACACGAGAAUUGAUUGUAAUUUUAAUAAAUAAAUAAAAAAAGAAAUAUUAUUUUAUCGAAUUACUGAAAAUUCUCAACGCGAGAAUUGAUUGUAAUUUUAAUAAAUAAAUAAAUAAAUAAAUAAAUAAAAAA